UCAGGUGAUCUGCCUGCCUUGGCCUCCCAAAGUGCUGAGAUUACAGGCAGGAGACACCGCGCCUGGCCAUUUAAACAGUUCUUGAUCAGUAGUUACUGCUUUAUCACUAGACUCUCAGUGAAUAAUCAGAGGCCAAAACAUUUGGGAAAUUAGAGAGAUGCAAGAGUUCUGUGCUUUAAAGGGUGCCACAUGCAGUCAGAAGACUUUUCUGAAUUUCUACUCGUGGGCAGAUAGAUUGUGGAUCCCUUGCCAAAGGUUUUCUGUAUUUAUCCUCUUGAAUCUGGAUCCAGUUGAAUAGUCAACAGGGGAGUCCAAAUGAGGGAGAUGAAAAUACUAUCAUUAUUACUGACAAAGCUGAUUAGAAAACAUGACUUUAUAUUUGCGCCCAAGUAUCUUCGCUGGUAUAUCCCUCCUGAAGUAGACAGGUCUGCCCACCAGCACAGCUGAGUAACUGCCGGCUUCUUACUGCGUGGCAGAGAGUAGAACGGGAUGGACCUGUGUAGACGGCCAGGUCUGAAGAGAGGAGAGCAGAAGGGGCCGAACUGAGUGUGUUCACCGCUUUCUUCAAAAUCUGCCAGUGAUGUCACUCACAAGGGAGGGAAACAGGAAACACAGGCACAGAAAUGUGAAGAAUGAGAAUGUCACCUUAACAAAGGGAACAUUUUAUAGGGAUACAGGAGGCCCAUAAUCAAGUUCGUGUUUCGUAACUUUUAGCAGUUAGCUAUCCUUUCUGGCAUGAACUUUAAAAACAGAUGUACUAGGGUUUGAAUUCUGCCUGUGUCACUUAAUUGCACUGGCUCAGGCAUCCUAGAAUUUCUAAGAGCCGUAAAACAGAUAAAACUACUUUGCACGAAAAAUUGACCACUGACUUCUCUCCCCUGUUCUAUUGAUAUAGCAUUAAAUUUAUUAAUGUUUGUUUUUGUCAAACUUCAGUAGUGUUAGAGGUAUGAGAUCAGCCUUAGUUGAUUAGUAAGAAAGAUUUUAUUUACCUAAGAUAGCAAGAGAGAUAUGCCUUUAAUCUUUGUUAUUUAUGGGAAAAUAAUUUAUUAACCUAAUUUUUAUUGUCACUUCUAAAUACAUGGUUGUCCUGUUAAUGGCGACCUUUUUUUCCUCUGAGCAUCUGCAACAGUCUCUUUUUUCAUGUAUGGGAAGUGGUAAUAGUUUUUCUCGUGUAUCAGGCAACUAACAACUUAUUUUAGACCAGAAAUUCUUAGAAAUGGUACCUAUCCAGUUGGCAUAAAAUUUGCAAGCGCUAUUCUGUUGUUUCCUGAAAAAGAUGCAGUUGCUUUACUCAUAGAGUUAUCAGUUAUUUUUCUGGCUAUUUUACUUGAAGUAGCCAUGCUUUGUCUUUUUUUCUAUGGAGAUACAUGGCUGAAAGUAAGUCUUUUCACCAGCUGGAUAAUACGAAAUUUGAUAAAAUUUGAGUAAUAUAAAAACUUUCCCAUUGGCUUUAUAUGAUUGAAUUUCCACUAUGUAAAAUUAAACUAGUUAUUUCUUAUGCUACCCAAUAUAUAGUUUAUUAUUUGAAAACUGUACCCCCCAUUUUCCCUCAAGAACAUCAUUUUGUCUUUUGCAUCUCAGUGCAGGGGUUGGAUAGCGUAAUUUCUUCUCCUAGAAACCCAUUUUCUGCUGCUUGUAGCUACUAUUUCUGUUUUUUCAUCAACCGCUACAGGAAGAUGUGGAGUUCCUGCCAUCUCUCUGUAAUCAGUGGUAUCAUCACAUACCCCAUGUGUACUUUUUGUUUUGAAGUUAGUGCUGCUGACCUGCCCCUUCAGUACCUUGAGCUUGACCUCUAGCUUUCAGCAGCAAAGGCCUCAAGAAAAUCAGUUGCCAGAGUCAGUCUGUUUGCUUGUGUCCUCCUAACCCACUGAUCCUUGACAUUGUGUUGUUUCUCAGAGAAGUAAAGCAAUUUUUUUUUUUUUUUUUUUUUUGAGAUAGUCUUACUCUGUCACCCAGGCUGGAGUGCAGUGGCGGGAUUUUGGCUCACUGCAACCACCUCCCGGGUUCGAGGGAUUCUCAUGCCUCAGCCUCCCGAGUAGCUGGGAUUACAGGCGCCCACCACCACGCCUGGCUAAUUUGUGUAUUUUUAGUAGAGAUGGGUUUCACCAUGUUGGUCAGGCUGGUCUCGAACUCCUGACCUCAAGUGAUCUGCCCACCUUGCCCUCCCACAGUGCUGGGAUUACAGGCGUGAGCCACCACACCCGGCCAAAGCAGUUGUUCUAAUAUAUAAGCAUUUAAUAUAUUGACUUUGGUUGAUUCUUACCUCACUUCCAAGAUAAUUGCUUCUGUUAAAUUACAUUCAUUUUUAGGCUUGAGUCAUCCACUAUAUUUAUGAGUUGGUCAGUUCUUUCAUGAGUUGAGCUUGUUUUUAAAACUUUUACUUUUGAAGUCCCCUUCUGUUUCUACUGCAGCCACUUGCACUAUAACAUUUCUCAUGUUAUUCCUGACAGCCAGUCUUCUUAACGCUCAGUUAUGACUUUUGACAGGUGACAGCAGUAUCACUUAGGACCGUCUUAGUUCAUUUUUAAUGAAAAUCCAAAAGAUGCUCCUAUUGCAAUAAAAGCAUAAGAAAAUAGUAAUAGAAUAAAGGUUUAUUCUGUCAAUAGGCAGUUUGGGGCUGCUGCAGUGGCUCCACGAUACCAAAUGGUCCUGGGCUCUAUCUUUCUUUUCCACUAUCCUUAGUAUAUGGCCUUCUUCCUCAUGCUUGCAAAAAUGGUGGCAUACAGAAGCCUUUCAUACAUGUUCCAGAAUAUGAAGAAAGACAGGGAAAAAGGGACGUGCCAACUGGUUAAACAACAAUAACCAUAUCAAAGACCCACCGCCUAGAUUUCCUCUUCUUGCUGGCCAGAACUUUGUAGCAUGCCCACCCAGUGUACACAGCAGGCUGCACAGUAGCCUGGAAUAUCAGUUUUAGUUGGGCAGUGAGUAUAUCCAGUGCAAAACCCAGAUCCCACGAGCAAAGGAUGGUGAAGAGUAGACGGAUAUUAAACAGAGAAGGAGCAGUGACUGCCUCAGCUUUCCUGUUCAGAAACACGUUAUAACUCCAUAUAUUGCUUUAAUUCUGUCUAUCCUAGACAGACUCACAAGACUAGAACCAGACCUUUAGAGGCACUAACCAACCACUGAAAAGAGGCUAAUCACCUCCCAUAUGUAAAUCAAAUUGU